rnacentral:rRNA from 1 species
UGCGCCUUGCCACGCCCGCUCAGAAACUACAAAGGAAUUGACGGGGACCCGCACAAGCGGUGGAGCAUGUGGUUUAAUUCGAAGCAACGCGAAGAACCUUACCAAGUCUUGACAUCGGAAUGACCGUCCCGUAACUGGGGCUUCCCUUCGGGGCAUUCCAGACAGGUGGUGCAUGGUUGUCGUCAGCUCGUGUCGUGAGAUGUUGGGUUAAGUCCCGCAACGAGCGCAACCCUUAUCCUUAGUAGCCAGCAGUUCGGCUGGGCACUCUGGGGAGACUGCCAGGGAUAACCUGGAGGAAGGUGGGGAUGACGUCAAAUCAUCAUGCCCCUUAUGAUUUGGGCUACACACGUGCUACAAUGGCGUAAACAAAGGGAAGCAAGGGAGUGAUCCGGAGCAAAUCUCAAAAAUAACGUCUCAGUUCGGAUUGUAGUCUGCAACUCGACUACAUGAAGCUGGAAUCGCUAGUAAUCGCGGAUCAGAAUGCCGCGGUGAAUACGUUCCCGGGUCUU